rnacentral:piRNA from 1 species
UCUGUGUGUAAGAUGUGCCGGAUGUGAGCAU